UACGGGGGGGGCAAGCGUUGUUCGGAAUUACUGGGCGUAAAGGGGACGUAGGCGGCCAACUAAGUCCGACGUGAAAUCCCAAGGCUUAACCUUGGAACUGCGUCGGAUACUGGAUGGCUUGAAUUCGGGAGAGGGAUGCAGAAUUCCAGGUGUAGCGGUGAAAUGCGUAGAUAUCUGGAGGAAUACCGGUGGCGAAGGCGGCAUCCUGGACCGACAUUGACGCUGAAAGCCGAAAGCUAGGGGAGCAAACAGG
rnacentral:rRNA from 1 species